GUCUGCUUCAACUGAACAUAUACUAAAAUUGGAAUGAUACAGAGAUUCGCGUAGCGCUGCUGCAAGGACAGCACACAAGUUCAUGAAGUAUUCCAUAUUUUU
ensembl:snRNA U6 U6 spliceosomal RNA